rnacentral:rRNA from 1 species
UACGGGGGGGGCAAGCGUUGUUCGGAAUUACUGGGCGCAAAGGGCUCGUAGGCGGCCAACUAAGUCAGACGUGAAAUCCCUCGGCUUAACCGGGGAACUGCGUCUGAUACUGGGUGGCUUGAAUCCGGGAGAGGGAUGCGGAAUUCCAGGUGUAGCGGUGAAAUGCGUAGAUAUCUGGAGGAACACCGGUGGCGAAGGCGGCAUCCUGGACCGGUAUUGACGCUGAGGAGCGAAAGCCAGGGGAGCAAACGGG